rnacentral:rRNA from 1 species
GACUACCGGGGUAUCUAAGCCUGUUUGCUCCCCUAACUUUAGAGCCUCAGCGUCAGUAUCUGUCCAGAGAGCCGCCUUCGCCACCGGUGUUCCUCUUGAUAUCUACGCAUUUCACCGCUACACCAAGAAUUCCGCUCUCCUCUCCAGUACUCUAGCCCAGUAGUUUUGAAUGCCAUUCCACAGUUGAGUUGUGGGAUUUCACAUUCAACACACCGAACCGCCUACGCUCCCUUUACGCCCAGUAAAUCCGAACAACGCUCGAGACCUCUGUAUUACCGCGGCUGCUGGCACAGAGUUAGCCGUCUCUUCCUCCUGAGGUACUAUCAUUCCAAGGCACUAUUCGUGCCCCGGCCAUUUAUCCCUCAUGACAGGAGUUUACAAUCCGAAGACCUUCAUCCUCCACGCGACGUCGCACCGUCAGGCUUUCGCCCAUUGCGAAUGAUUCUCGACUGCAGCCUCCCGUAGG